GGCCAGGAUACUUUAUUCAAGGUGUGUGUCAUGGAGCUGUAUGCCAGAGCAGCCAGAUUCCAUUUCUUUGCUUAGUCUGAGGGCUGAACCAUGCAUACCAAAUAAUACAGCAUCCAAACAAUCUGGCACCGGUCCUGUUUACUUUCCUACCACCCAAAUGUCCCUAAGUACACUGAUCCUCUUGCAAUUCAAACAUCUGUGGUGGGAAAAUGUGUCAGACAAACCAAGAUGAUGGCAGAUAUAUAAAGUUAACAAGGAUCAAGGAUUAUACACUAUUGUUGACUACCUUCGGCUUCUUUUUCCUCUUCAUCAACAUCUUCCUCUUCCGUUGUUGUUAACACUUCAGUACUGUCCUCCAGUUUCUUUUUCUUCUUUAGAUUCUUCAACAUUCUCACCUUCCUUUCCUUCAGAAUCCUUCACGACUUGGCAUACCUUCUUCACUUCCAGCUCUUUCAGCUUAAGUCUGCUGACCCUUCUUUUAACCGAAGGCAUGGCUCCGGGUUGCAAUUAGGCCUAGCCGCUGCCUCUUCGAGGACCCAGAUGACGCUCACAGGACACUCUCGCGAAACCUGCGGUCAGUGCCUUCCCAGCAACCGUUUCUGCCACAGGCCCCGCCCCUUUAACGCUCUGGUUUCACGUGCACUCCUACCUUCCUCACGUUCUGCUGCCGCAGUUGCUGGUUAUCGCAAUGCUCGC
rnacentral:lncRNA from 1 species